rnacentral:rRNA from 1 species
GACGAACCGAGCAAACGUUAUUCGGAAUCACUGGGCUUAAAGGGCGCGUAGGCGGGUACUCAAGUCUGUGGUGAAAUCCGGCAGCUUAACUGUCGAACUGCCGUGGAUACUGGGUAUCUCGAGGAAGGUAGGGGCAUGCGGAACUAUUGGUGGAGCGGUGAAAUGCGUAGAUAUGCGGAGGAACACCGAUGGCGAAGGCAAUCCCCUGGGCCUGCACUGACGCUCAUGCACGAAAGCGUGGGGAGCAAACAGG